AGAAUCAACGCUGGCGGCGUGCCUAACACAUGCAAGUCGCACGAGAAAGGGGAGCAAUCCCUGAGUACAGUGGCGCACGGGUGAGUAACACGUGAAUAAUCUACCUCCGAGUGGGGAAUAACUGAGAGAAAUCUUAGCUAAUACCGCAUAACACUUACGAGUCAAAGCAGCAAUGCGCUUGGAGAGGAGUUCGCGGCCGAUUAGUUAGUUGGCGGGGUAAUGGCCCACCAAGACGAUGAUCGGUAUCCGGCCUGAGAGGGCGCACGGACACACUGGAACUGAAACACGGUCCAGACUCCUACGGAGGCAGCAGUGGGGAAUUUUGCGCAAUGGGGGAAACCCUGACGCAGCAACGCCGCGUGGAGGAUGAAGCCCCUUGGGGUGUAAACUCCUUUCGAUCGGGAAGAUAAUGACGGUACCGAUAUAAGAAGCCCGGCUAACUUCGUGCCAGCAGCCGCGGU
rnacentral:rRNA from 1 species